rnacentral:rRNA from 1 species
UGCUUGCCGGGUUGGAUUAGUGGCGAACGGGUGAGUAUCACGUGAGUAACCUUCCCUUAACUCUGGGAUAAGCCCGGGAAACUGGGUCUAAUACCGGAUACGACCAGUCCUCGCAUGGGGUGCUGGUGGAAAGAUUUAUCGGUUUUGGAUGGACUCGCGGCCUAUCAGCUUGUUGGUGAGGUAAUGGCUCACCAAGGCGAUGACGGGUAGCCGGCCUGAGAGGGUGACCGGCCACACUGGGACUGAGACACGGCCCAGACUCCUACGGGAGGCAGCAGUGGGGAAUAUUGCACAAUGGGCGAAAGCCUGAUGCAGCGACGCCGCGUGCGGGAUGACGGCCUUCGGGUUGUAAACCGCUUUCAGCAGGGAAGAAGCGAAAGUGACGGUACCUGCAGAAGAAGCGCCGGCUAACUACGUGCCAGCAGCCGCGGUAAUACGUAGGGCGCGAGCGUUAUCCGGAAUUAUUGGGCGUAAAGAGCUCGUAGGCGGUUUGUCACGUCUGCUGUGAAAGCCCGGGGCUCAACCCCGGGUGUGCAGUGGGUACGGGCAGACU